UUCAUUAUCUAUUAGAAGACGAACGACCUCGCUCUCCCCCGCUAAUCGCUAUCCGCAUCCCUGUCUCUUCCCAUUCUCUCGCCCCUCCACUUGAUCUUCUUCAACACGAUGCUCCCCUGUUUCCGUAGCCCACCCAACCAUGGAGUACAUCCUCACCGUGUAGGAUCGAAGCAAUAUCAUGCUUGCUGUCUGCCGUCGUUCAAGAUCCAAGCAGCAGCCCCGCCGAGAAGGUUGUUCUAGCCGUCCUCCGCCCGGCCGGAUCACGGCCGCUACACAACAGUCCCCAUCUGCCGCCGCACCUAAUGGGUUCCAGACCCGCUCAAGAGCUUAAUCGCUACUGCCUGCUGGGACGGACUCUCUCUCUCUCCCUCCGUCCCCCUCUCUCUCUCUAUCUCUCUCUCUCUCUUAGUCUAUUUGUGUGCGGUGGCUUCCAUGUACUUCCUCCGUUCCGAAUUACUUGUCUUAGAUUUGUCUAGAUAUGGAUGUAUCUAGCACUAAAAUGAGUCUAGAUACAUCCGUAUCUAGACAAAUCCAAGACAUGUAAUUCAGAACGGAGGGAGUAGCUGUUUAUGUUCUGUAUAUACAUCAGCUUGAAUUUUUUGGUGUAAAUCAGGAUCUUCAAUUAUGUCUGAUGAGUAUUACUAGUUUAUCAUCUUUUAAAUGUCACCAGCGCCUCAAUUUGGGAAAUGCUUUCCAUCUCCUGUUAUGCACCGACCCCUCCGGUUAUACUGAGUGCAUCCUCUACAACAAUUCUUCACUAUCAUGCUCCGCUGUUACGACCAGUAUUACAGACUUUUAUCAUGUUUUAAAUGUCACCGUUGCCUCAAUUUGGGAAAUGAUUUGCAUCGGCCCCUCCAGGCUAUAGUGAGUGCAGCCACUACAACCAUUCUUCACUAUCAUGCUCUGCUUUUACGACCAAUUAUCCCUCAGGUUGCUUUCCUGACCAUGCUUUGCUUCCAUUCAGUAUGGUCGAUUUGUGGAACUCCAAAGACAGUAUGUUAUAAAAUGGUACAUCAUUUUUAUUUUCAUGUUUUUACCAGUUAUUUUUAUUUUCAUGUGUGGUGAUUCUCAGUCAUGUAGGUGAGUAAUAAAGAACGAAAUACCAAUGUGUUUGGAUAAGUACUAGUCCGUCCUUUUCCUUAUAUCAAUGCACUUCACAGUGUCUGCCAACAUGAAGGUUAGUAUUUGUUUUCUUUACAUUUCAUUGUGCAUAUAACCUGUAGUACUAGAGCUUUUCUAGCUUCUCAUGUUGCUACAGUUCCUGAAGUUUUGGACUCAAAUUUUUUGCAAUUUGUUCUUUCUGAAUAUGCUUGCAGUGACGACUAUGUACUGAAAAUGGAAACCUGGUCUACGACAGUGUUUUACAGAACAUUUUAAUUAAAUAUUAUGGCAUCACCAUUUGCUGUUUUGCAGAUCUCCACAUUGGAUUUAGUAACUAUUUCUCUGCAUCAUUCAUUUCAGUUGGGGGUCUAAAUGGUACAUGCAAACAAUAUCAAUAAUUUCUUACAUAUUGCCUUUUUUGUGGAAAUACAUGUUCCCUUUUGUUUUGGAAAUGAUAAAUUAUUUUUGUUUGAAAUAACGCUUGAUGUUCUUUGCGUACAAAAGGAAAUUAUCAAUUGUAAAGAGCUACUCCCUCCUUCCACAAUACAUGCCUUCCAUUUGUCAAUAUAUAGAUGUAUCUAGACAUGUUUUAAUAUAUAGAUACAUCUAUUUUUGGACAAAUGGAAGUCAAGUAUUUUGGAACGGAGGGAGUACAAGUGAAUGCUUAUAUCAGAUUUUAUAAGAGUUCUUUCAUCUAAGGUUGGAACAUGAAAUGUCAUGUAAGCUUUAUUUUGAAGACAAUUAUUUUAAGUGGCAUUAUUUA